rnacentral:rRNA from 1 species
GACGAACGCUGGCGGCGUGCCUAAUACAUGCAAGUAGAACGCUGACGAGAGGAGCUUGCUCUUCUUGGAUGAGUUGCGAACGGGUGAGUAACGCGUAGGUAACCUGCCUUGUAGCGGGGGAUAACUAUUGGAAACGAUAGCUAAUACCGCAUAACAAUGGAUGCCACAUGUCAUUUAUUUGAAUGGGGCAAUUGCUCCACUACAAGAUGGACCUGCGGUGGAAUAGCUAGUAGGUGAGGUAAUGGCCCACCUAGGCGACGAUACAUAGCCGACCUGAGAGGGUGGUCCGCCACACUGGGACUGGGACAAGGCCCAGACUCCCACGGGAGGCAGCAGUAGGGAAACUUUGGCAAUGGGGGCAAACCUGACCGAGCCACGCCGCGUGAGGGAAGAAGGUUUUCGGAUCGUAAAGGUCUGUUGUAAGUGAAGAAAGGGUGUGAGAGUGGAAAGUUCACACUGUGACGGUAGCUUACCAGAAAGGGACGGCUAACUACGUG